rnacentral:rRNA from 1 species
GAUGAACGCUAGCUACAGGCUUAACACAUGCAAGUCGAACGGAACUCAUUGGAUCGAGACUUCGGUCAAGUGAAUCUGAGUUUAGUGGCGGACGGGUGAGUAACGCGUGGGUAACCUGCCUCGUACAGGGGGAUAACAGUUAGAAAUGACUGCUAAUACCGCAUAACCCGCUAAGGUCGCAUGACCUGGACGGAAAAGAUUUAUCGGUACGAGAUGGACCCGCGUCUGAUUAGCUGGUUGGUGAGGUAACGGCUCACCAAGGCGACGAUCAGUAGCCGACCUGAGAGGGUGAUCGGCCACAUUGGAACUGAGACACGGUCCAAACUCCUACGGGAGGCAGCAGUGGGGAAUAUUGCACAAUGGGCGAAAGCCUGAUGCAGCAACGCCGCGUGAGCGAAGAAGGCCUUCGGGUUGUAAAGCUCUGUCCUUAGGGAAGAUAAUGACGGUACCUGAGGAGGAAGCCCCGGCUAACUACGUG